UUUGUCGACUUCAAAUGACAC
ensembl:piRNA 21ur-4489 ncRNA